CGGGAUGUGGUGCAUGGUGCACGGCUGCUUCGAGUUCAGGAGAUUCUGGACCGAUUUGGCAGCAGGACGGGGUUCGACUCCCUGUGUCCCAA